AGUUAGUUGAUGAGUCCCAAAUAGGACGAAAUGUGCGUUCUGAAU
rnacentral:hammerhead_ribozyme from 1 species